UAAUUUCAGUGCAUGUCUGAGACCUUCGGGCUCGAAGCUUGGGAACUAGUAUUCAGGGAAAGAUAAAAUGGCGGCUUACGGCGGCGAAGGAAAUCUCAGUAGUUUAAUAUUUUAGCGUGAAAAGGCUUGGGUGUUGUGAUCUGGUUCUCAAGUAAAAAAAAAAUCACGGUCUGCAAUGGCCCUACCACCUUUUGAACAACAAGAAAACAUUGAAACGGUGGUAAAAAGCAGCAAGUUUCGAAGUCUAAACGAAAGAUGGGUGGUCAUUAUCCAUUACUUUUGGAAGUCGAUGCUGAUGAGAAAGAAAAUGUUUAUGAUUAUUUCUUCUCUCGAACAUUUUACUAUUUAGGUACCAAAUAAUCUUGAUACUGAAGAUCAUUGCAUCCAUUAUGAAAAAAUUACCCUUGAUUGCUUUGUCAACUGGAAUGUAUAAUGUAAUAUACCUUGUGAUUUGUGGGAUUUUCACAAGUAAACUAGAAAUACUUGAAGAGAGUAAUGAUGUACUUAAUGCAGAGCAUUUGGUACAAAGUCUGCUUUGCUGUAAUCUACCUGAAGGUGCUUUUUAUAUGCUAGUAAGACUUGCACAGCCCAGUCAAAAUGUUUUUGAGUAGUAGAAAAGCUGGCCAAACCUCUUCCUGAAAAGCAGUCUGAAAAAUGUGAAGUUAGCAGAAGGUACUUCAUUGUAGGCGGCCAAAUUGUAAGCUGCCAGCCCAUUUUGAGUGAGCAGUAAAACUCAAGAUUGGCUAUUUUAGCUAAUUUUAUUGAGAACCAAAUUCCCAGCAACGGGCACAAUUUUACUGGGCUAUUUGUUAUUUAACUACUUAGUAAUAUUCUUAUUAAAAUUUACUGCAUUCCUUUCUAAUAA